CUAUUGUUCACCACAGGAGGGCGCCGGAUCAUACAGCUGCCCUGACCAGGGGACAAGCCUGGGCAUUCAGAUGGGGCUGGCUGUCGGCGCCAGCUUUGUUUUGCGGCGCCGCUCCCUACACUCUUUAGAAUUAAUAUUUAUUCCAUACCAUUGUAUUCAGGAAGUAUAUGGAAUGAGGAACGGAGUACUAUUCCAUAUGUAAUGAUCUAAGCACGUUGUAUUCAUAUACUUUCUCUAGAGAAAAGUCUGAAAGAUAAGAAACAGCAGAGGAAGUGAAAGACUUGUAGUUAAGGAAGGCGGGAAUGGAUUGGAGCCACUUGUGAAGACUCAAUUUUCUACUACUGAGAAAACCAGAACCAUGUACUAAGCACUCUGAAGGCAGGUAACCUGAGAAGUAUUCCAUAUACCUGACACUAAUGAUUUGUGGCACUACUGUAUAUUUACUAAGUCAUGAAAUAUUUGUCUAAUAUUGUUAAUAUG